GUCGUAUUUUGGGCAUCACUGGUUUGUAAUAUUAUAGGGAAUUUCCUCAAGCAUCAAUUCUCAAUGUCCAAUUACGUGGAUGGGAGUGUCUCCUAAAAUAGCGCUUCACAGUCAAGUUUAAAAGUGUUCUAGGAAACGAAUCACAUCCGUGAAGACUGAAAGAAGCCAACAACAUUUAGGUGUAAGUUCAAAUAGUUUAGGAAGAUGUUGAGACUGUAGGGAUGUGAAUAAGUUUUAAAUAACAACCGUAGAGACCCAAGUUUUCGUCAAGUCACCUGUGGACUUAAUGUUUGUCUAAAGGAUCAGACUUACCUAGCAGACUCCUCUAGUCUCUGUGAUGAGAAUCCAGAUACAG